AACCUACUCCCUUCGUUCGGAAUUACUUGUCGCAGAAAUGGAUGUAUCUGGAUAUAUUUUAGUUCUAGGUAUAUCCAUAUUCGAGACAAGUAAUUCCGAACAGAAAGAGUACAAC
rnacentral:pre_miRNA from 1 species